UUGGUCAUAAAGCUGUCAGAGCUCAGCAGAUUCUCCUCUCUGUGCUGAUGGAGACCUUGGAGGGAAGUGAACUCUGCUUUCCACAACUCCUCAACACCUCCUGCAGGAAGCCAGUGCGGCCUCAUUUUGAGACCAUGCUGAUUUACAUUCUGCUGUCCUCCAUCUCUCUGCUCACUGCAGUUCUUAACCUGCUGGUCAUCAUCUCGAUCUCCCACUUCAAGCAGCUCCACACACCCACCAACCUCCUCCUCCUCUCUCUGGCUGUGUCAGAUUUCUUCGUGGGCCUCCUCUUGUUCUUUCAAAUUAUGCUGACAGACGGCUGCUGGUUCUUUGGUGACCUCAUGUGUGUUGCGUAUCAGUAUCUAGCAUACAUUGUUACCUCUGCCUCAGUAGGAACAAUGGUGAUCAUAUGUGUUGACCGCUAUGUGGCUAUUUGUCAUCCUCUGCAUUACUCCACCAAAGUCACACAAAAAAGAGUUCAAGUCUGUAUUUGUCUGUGUUGGAUAUGCUCUCUAAUCUUUCAAAGUCUGAUUCUGAAGGAUAUCAUUGAACAACCAGGCAGGUAUAACUCCUGCAUUGGAGAGUGUGUAUUUUUCAUUAACUACAUAGCUGGACUUGCAGAUCUUAUUUUUUCCUUCAUCGUUCCCAUUACUAUUAUUGUUGUUUUGUAUAUGAGAAUUUUUGUUGUGGCUGUGUCUCAGGCUCGUACCAUGCGGUCACAUAUUGCAGCUGUCACACUCCAGAAAUCAGUGAAAGUAACUGCUAAAAAAUCUGAAAUGAAAGCAGCCAGGACUCUUGGUGUUGUUGUAGUUGUGUUUCUAAUCUGUCUUUGCCCAUAUUAUUGUGUUGCUCUUACAGGCCAAGAUAACUUUCUCAACGCUUCAUCUUCUGCCUUUGUAAUAUGUUUGUUCUUCUUUAACUCCUGUCUAAACCCCAUGAUCUAUGCCUUUUUUUAUCCCUGGUUUAGAAAAUCCAUUAAGCUCAUUGUUACAUUGAAGAUACUGCAGCCUGACUCCUGUGAGGCCAACAUACUGUAGAGAGACUCUAGGUGAUGCCUGAAAUUAGACCUUUAGCAUUAACAGAACAAUAUACUUGGUCAUAGUAAUUGCCAUUUUGUUAAUCAACGUCACAGUACAGCUACUUGGGGUUUGUCCAUUUGCAGGUAUUUUGGACAAAUCACCACCUCUAUGAUUCACUGACACAUUUUUGUUAUGCUGACUGUGUGCAUAAGUACAGCUGAUGUGAAAGUUUAGCAAUUAUAUCCCAUUUUAUACAUGGCUGAAGUUAGAGACCCACAGAAAUUAGGAUAUAGCUUGUACUGUAUCUAACUGGAUAUGUUUGGCCAGGCCUGUAAUGCAGCCAUUUUGUAUGUGAACACCUUUAAACACAAACCCAUUCAAAGCUAAGAGUCAGCAAUUAUCAGUAACCUCAGAACCUCAAGAAAUACAAAAAAUACUGUAUGAUCAUUAAUUUGUAGCAUGCCAGCCCAGAGUCAACCUUUUACUUAUUAUCAUUUACUUGUUCUGAUUCCUUGCAAUUGUACAACCUAGACAAAAAAGUAAAUCAAGCCAAAGAAGGAAUAUACACGCCAUCUGAUGGGGAUUGUUUGUCAGCUUCAUUACUUUUUGAACACAAGUUAUUACAUAAAAACUAUCCUGAAAAACAUAAAUACCACUGAAAAUUAAUGUCACAUAUGGCCUUAAAAUCCAACACAAAAUAAAACGAGCACCGCUGCAGUUUGUACAUUUUCCCUAACAGUCAAAUUGCCUUUUCAGCCAUACUAGCAGGCAGUUGGCCCACCAAUUUAAUCAAGAGUAAAAUACCUCAACAAUUACUGAUUGACUGCCAUGGAAAUUUGUACUUAGAUUUAUGGUCCCCAGGGGAUGAAUCCAUUGCCUUUGCUGAUCCCCUGACUCUACAUCUAUUGCCAACUGUAGGUGUUUUUUAUUGAAAUGUCUUAAUAACUAUAAGAUGGAUUGACCUGGGGAUGAAUCCUGCUGACUUGAGUUAUCCCUUUAAUUUUCCUAUAACACCACCAGAAGGUCAAGGUUUUCACCUACUCUGUGAAAUGUAUCAACAUAUACAGGAUGGGUUGACACACAAUUUUUUACAGAUGUUGAUGGUUCUCAGAUGAUGUAUUGUAACAUUUUCUCAAGCUCCACCAUCAGGUUCAGAUUUGUGGAAUGUUUUGACAAUAACUUGAUGGAUUGCCUUGAAAUUUACACAUUCAUUUCCCUGACAGGAUUCCAUCAUCAAGUAAAAAUAUGAAUUUGUUCAAAAGUUUUAGUUUUAGUCAGAACAAAGAUUAUGAUUUUGGGUUGUCCUUUUGUCCGUCGAUUGUCCCUCUGUCUGUCCGUCCGUCAGUCUGUCCCAUUCUCGUGAACACGAUAUCUCAGGAAUUUCCUUAAAUUUGAAAAAAAAUGAUUUUGGUGGACAAAGUUCAAGGUCACCGUGACCUCACAUUCAUCCCUGAUAUGUCAGGAAUGCCUUUGGGUCCACUUCGAUGAACUGAUUAGGUUGGUGGUCAAAAGUAAAAGAGCACACUUAUAAAACACGUUAUGAGUCAAGAACUGAUGACCAUACUUUACAAUUGGUCAGAUAAUAAAUUGGUGACACAUUUGACUCAAAGAUCAAAGGUCACUGUGACCUAAAAAUAGAUUUUUGCCAUAAUUAAAGACUACACUGGGCGAGUCCACAUUUCACACACAUUGACUGGGACGACACACUCCUUUCCUUCUCAUGGAUUCUGCCUUUCACUUCCUGCCCCAUUCUGAAUUUUGUGCGUUCCAAGUAACUGCGCUUGAAACAAGAGUGGGUUUGGUUGCAUAUUAUUUGUGACUUUGCUUGACUAGCAAUCAAUCCAUUCGAUCCACUAGCACAUGCUAACCCACAUGAGUAUGGAGGACUAAAAGUGCCAAAAUUAAAUAAGUAAAUACACCAUUAAAUAAUUACUUGAAUGUGUCAUUAAUUAAUUAAAAUUGGAAUUAAAUACAUAAAUGUGUCAUUAAUUCAUUAAAAUACUGAUUCAUUUUAUGUAAAAAACAUAUAUAAUUAUUUCACUAUUUAAUUAAUCAUUUCAUGGUUCUGUGUUGCAGUGCUUCAUGAAUUUAUUUUAUCUGUCAAACCAUCGUUGGUAGGCAAAUCCUAACGUCUGAUUGGUUACCCUGCGUAUGAAGUCAAGGCAAAUCAAUUCCAGAUAAUGGAUUGAUGCAAAGCUAGUGAACACAUUCCAAUACACUGGGUGGCGCUAUUGGACAACUUCUUCUAAAUUUGCAGUCAUUCUAUGGUCAAUAUCUUGGUCGGAAAGUGUGGAAAUAACUCCAAGAACUUCAAUAAGUUCCUCUGCUUUACUCGCUACAUGCUCUGGGUCAGCAGGUCCUGCUUCCACAUCCUCUGCUAAGACUAAAAUGUCUCUCACCAACUCCCUAAAACAGGGGUAUUCAACUAAAAUUCAAAGAGGUCCAGCUAGAGAACAUUUCCUCAAGUGAAGGUCCAGAACAUAUUUAAUUCAAUUCAGUUCAAUUCAAUUUUAUUUGUAUAGCGCCAAUUCAUAACAGAAGUUAUCUCAGGACACUUUUCAAAUGGAGCAGGUCUAGACCGAACUCCUUAUAACAUUUACAGAGACCCAACAGUACCACCAUGAGCAAGCACUUGGCGACGGGGGCAAGGAAAAACUGCCUGUUAAGAGGCAGAAACCUAGGACAGACCCUUCGGCUCUCGGUGGGUGGUCAUCUGCCUCGACCAGUUGGGGUGAUUGAAGUAGCCUCAUAGUUGUAUCAACGUCUGCAACUGACUGUUAAAUGAAAUAAUGCACAAUUUAAGAUAUAUAAUUAUUGUCACUUAUCAUUGAAGUAUACAUAUAAUGUUCUUCUCUAAUUAGGUAAAAGAAGGGCUGUACUUAAAAAUAAAAUAGAGAAAAUAGAUGAAAUAGCCUUUGAAAAAUUGUGCAUCUUGAAGUGUUUAAUUUUAGAAGAAUAAAAUAAAGUGUAGCAGCAGCUUGAGUUUGCCCUUUUCUGUUAACUGUUUCAUAUCUUGACUUAACAGUCUCAACAAAUGUUAUAAUAAAUGAAUGUCAACACAUCUUUAAAAUUGAA